rnacentral:lncRNA from 1 species
UAGUGUGAUUUACGAAGGCUAGGCUAGGUUUGGUAAUAUCCAAAACAAAUGAAAAGAGGUCGGGGUCGAUAGGUGGCAGUUGGCAAGGAACUUGAUCCCCCCCAAAAAAAGGGGGAAGCCGCGGUCGAACUCUUAUUCUGGAAAUAAGUCGGGGCCCUUUUACCAAGUCUACCAGAUAGAAGAUGAUAGAGGGCCAACUAUCGUUGCCUUGCACAAGACGGUGCCCUUUCACUUCGAGUUCCUUCCUUCGUAGUCAAAUCUGAUGAUACGCUUUGGCGAUGUUACCUACCAAAUAAAAGGCCUGCUAGGUGAUCGAAAUCGCUCAGGUCAGUGAGGACUCACUCACUCACCUACUCCUUAUCUAUUUAAUACUUUCUUCUA